GGCGAACGGGUGAGUAACGCGUGAGAAUCUACCUAAGAAUGGGGAAUAACUGUUGGAAACGACAGCUAAUACCGCAUAAUCCCUUCGGGGCAAAGGCUUCGGCCGUUUUUAGAUGAGCCCGCGUUAGAUUAGGCUGUUGGUGAGGUAACGGCUCACCAAACCUGCAAUCUAUAGCUGGUCUGAGAGGAUGAUCAGCCACACUGGGACUGAGACACGGCCCAGACUCCUACGGGAGGCAGCAGUGGGGAAUAUUGGACAAUGGGGGAAACCCUGAUCCAGUAAUGCCGCGUGAGUGAUGAAGGCCUUAGGGUUGUAAAACUCUUUCAGAAGUGAAGAUGAUGACGGUAACUUCAGAAGAAGCUCCGGCUAACUCCGUGACAGCAGCCGCGGUAAUACGGAGGGAGCUAGCGUUGUUCGGAAUUACUGGGCGUAAAGGGCGUGUAGGCUGUUAGGUAAGUCAGAGGUGAAAUCCCUAAGCUCAACUUAGGAACUGCCUUUGAUACUAUCUUACUAGAGAUCGAGAGAAGUUGGCGGAAUUCCAAGUGUAGAGGUGAAAUUCGUAGAUAUUUGGAAGAACACCAGUGGCGAAAGCGGCCAACUGGCUCGUAUCUGACGCUGAGACGCGAAAGCGUGGGUAGCAAACAGGAUUAGAUACCCUGGUAGUCCGCGCCGUAAACGAUGUGUGCUAGCCGUUUGUGAUUUAUCACAAGUGGUGCAGCUAACGCGUUAAGCACCAC
rnacentral:rRNA from 1 species